rnacentral:rRNA from 1 species
ACGUAGUCAACAUGCCCAGGGGACGUGGAUAACCUCGGGAAACUGAGGAUAAACCGCGAUAGGUCAUCACUUCUGGAAUGGGUAAUGACUUAAACCUAUAUGGCCCCUGGAUUGGACUGCGGCCGAUCAGGCUGUUGGUGAGGUAAUGGCCCACCAAACCUGUAACCGGUACGGGCUCUGAGAGGAGGAGCCCGGAGAUGGGCACUGAGACAAGGGCCCAGGCCCUAUGGGGCGCAGCAGGCGCGAAACCUCUGCAAUAGGCGAAAGCUUGACAGGGUUACUCUGAGUGAUUUCCGUUAAGGAGAUCUUUUGGCACCUCUAAAAAUGGUGCAGAAUAAGGGGUGGGCAAGUCUGGUGUCAGCCGCCGCGGUAAUACCAGCACCCCGAGUGGUCGGGACGUUUAUUGGGCCUAAAGCAUCCGUAGCCGGUUCUACAAGUCUUCCGUUAAAUCCACCUGCUUAACAGAUGGGCUGCGGAAGAUACUAUAGAGCUAGGAGGCGGGAGAGGCAAGCGGUACUCGAUGGGUAGGGGUAAAAUCCGUUGAUCCAUUGAAGACCACCAGUGGCGAAGGCGGCUUGCCAGAACGCGCUCGACGGUGAGGGAUGAAAGCUGGGGGAGCAAACCGGAUUAGAUACCCGG